AGUGAACGCUGGCGGUAGGCCUAACACAUGCAAGUCGAACGGCAGCACAGUAAGAGCUUGCUCUUACGGGUGGCGAGUGGCGGACGGGUGAGGAAUACACCGGCAUCUACUUUUUCGUGGGGGAUAACGUAUGGAAACUCACGCUAAUACCGCAUACGACCUACGGGUGAAUGCAGGGGAUCUUCGGACCUUGCGCGAUUGAAUGAGCCGAUGUCGGAUUAGCUAGUUGGCGGGGUAAAGGCCCACCAAGGCGACGAUCCGUAGCUCGUCUGAGAGGAUGAAUAGCCACUCUGGAACUUAGACACGGUCCAGACUACUACGGGAGGCAGCAGUCGGGAAUAUUGGACAAUGGGCGCAAGCCUGAUCCGGCCAUACCGCGUGGGUGAAGAAGGCCUUCGGGUUGUAAAGCCCUUUUGUUGGGAAAGAAAAGCAGCAGGUUAAUACACCGCUGCUCUGACGGUACCCAAAGAAUAAGCACCGGCUAACUUCGUG
rnacentral:rRNA from 1 species